rnacentral:rRNA from 1 species
GCAGGCUGAAAUUACGCCUGUAUGAAGCCGGAAUUGCUAGUAAUGGCAGGUCAGCAUACUGCCGUGAAUACGUUCCCGGGCCUUGUACACACCGCCCGUCACACCAUGAGAGUUGGGGAUACCCAAAGCCCGUGAGCCAACUAUAAAGAGGCAGCGGUCUAAGGUAGAAUCAAUGAUUGGGGUGAAGUCGUAACAAGGUAGC